UCCAGGAUAGAUGCCCCAGUGGGAUAGAUGACUUGAUUUUUAUUUCACUAUGUUAGGAGCACUGUAGGAGUUAAAUUUUACUGUAAGUAACGAGUCCUCCCCCUGCAAACCUUAGUGUCGGGAGGAAUUUCGACCGGAGUGCAUGCGUUUCGUCUGUGUGAGUAAAAAUGUUCCACGGUGAGACGACAAAAGGCGCCAAAAUAAGAUUCGAGAGCAAAAUGCCUCGUAAAUAUAAAAGGAAACAGGGUGUUGUCCCUCGUACUGUAACCUAGACCGAAGACAGUAUGCUAGCAGCGUUUGAAGAGAUGAAAAAGGGAGAGAAAGGCGUAAAUCAGAUUUCUAGAAUAUAAGGAAUACCAUCUAAAAUAUUAAGACGAAGAUUUGCCGUUAACAGCAAUUCUUAAUUUCAAAGUUACUGUAUGUGUUGUUGUUUUAAAUUUGAAUUACUUUUACUUUGUAUUGUAUUGCAUCAUAUCAUUGUAGUUACUGUCUGGCAUAAUUAUUACUGAAAAAAUAUAUAUAUAUCCAGCAUUUAUUUUUAUUUGUUUUAUGAAAACAUGCUGUAAUAACAAAAAACGACCCGUGGCUCUUACAUUCAAAUUAGGAGAAGCUGGAUUUCCGCUGGACCGAACAGCAAUACGUCAGUUAGCAUACCAGUUUGCUAAAAAGCUACAGCUAAAGUAUAACUUUGACAAAGAUGGCCAAGAAAUGAAAAUGAAAGUUAUAUAAAACACCAUAAAGACUGAUUAUAAUAA